rnacentral:misc_RNA from 1 species
GUCAAAUGUCAAACAUUCCCCACCAGCCUUUUCGAUCCUUGCCCUUGCUGUCUCAGUAAACCUCAGAGCAGCAACUUUCAAUGCUGGGACUUCAUAGACACGAAUAUCAUCGGUAAUAGUCCCAACAACAACUGCAAUCUUACUUUCCUUUCCUUUCAUGAACUGGAUAAGCCUAGACAGCGAAAGUGGAGGCUUGUUAACCUUGCUCAUAAACAAGCGCUUGAGAAUCACAGCAUUGAAAUUGCUUCCAGUCCGACGGACAAGGAAGCGGUAAAGCUUGACGAGUAACUUUAGGUAGAUAUCAUCAGACUUGGGUGCAGUUCUCUUGGUCUUCUUACUCUUACCUCCUGCUACGAGAUCGAUCCCCAUUGCAAAUGCUUUCCGAGUUUCAGCAGCCGCCGCCGGUGUGGAGGAAAGGGGAGAGUCAUCAUCGCCAAGAAUAAAGAGACUGCACCCCAUAGCUGGUGUGCUAAAAGCCGCCAAUGCCUGAGCCUGCAACAGUGACCCUGUAACAAAUCCACCACCAAUCUCUGUCCCACCACAAUAUUCGAUGAUAGGCUUAUAACAAGCUCUUCCCAUUAGCCAUAGGUAUUCAUCUACGCUAGAUGCUUCUCCAGUGGAGGCAAAACAACGGAUGGAAGACCAAUCAUAACCCGAUGUGCAGUUUGUACUUUUCCAUGAACGGACAAUACUUGGAAUCACCCCAAGCAUUGUUGUUUUAGCAUCCUGUACAAAUUUAACAAAUCCAGAACUAAGAGGGGAUCCAUUGUAUAAUGCUAUGGAAGCCUUGUUUAAUAAUGAAGCAUAAACUAACCAUGGACCCAUCAUCCAUCCAAGAUUAGUGGGCCAAGCAACAACAUCGCCUUUAUGAAUGUCCAUGUGGCACCAUGCAUCGGCUGCAGCUUUCAAAGGUGUUACAAGGGUCCAUGGAAUUGCUUUUGGCUCUCCUGUCGUUCCCGAUGAAAAAAGGAUAUUUGUAAAUGAUUCCGCAGAUUGCUCCACUGCAGAAAAUUCCACUCCUUUCAGAUCUUUGACUCUGUCCAGAAAGGCAUGCCAAGAAAUAUCACCAUCUCGAAGUUCCAUGCUAAAACCAGUGCUAUUGAUCGGAAUUACGAUUGCCAGAGGUGCCCGAGCAUCUACAACUCGACUAUACAAGGGUAUACUUUUAUCCCCACGAAUAAUAAGAUCCUGAGUAAAUAUAGCUUUUGCUUUUGAUAUAUCAAGUCUUGUGGAUAUUUCACGUGCAGCAAAACUAUCAGCUAUGGAGACAACCACAUGACCAGCCAGAACUAUAGCAAGAUAGAUGACCACAGCAUUUACAUUCAUUGGCAUGUCAAUUGCUAUUGCAGUUCCUUUCUCAAAACCUAUUGAGUUGAGCGCAUGUGCAACUAACCAAACCUCUGCACGCAAUUCCCUAAGUGUCAAUCUCUUCAGAGGCAGAUCAUCACAUCCUUCAUCACGCCAUAUGAUUACUACAUCAUCCAAACUUCUGUUCUCAUUUAAAGAUAAACAAUCUUUAGCUGGAUUAAACACUGCUCUAGGAAGCCAUUGACCACCCGGGCUUGAAAAUUUGCUUUCAGGAGAAUCGUCUAUUUGCAAGAUACAGUUAGGAGGCUUAGAAAAUGUUAUAUUCAUCUCAUCUAGUACCGUUCUCCAGUAGACCUCGGGGUUUGAAACUGAAAACUCCUGGAAAGAGGAGAUGCUUGAUGAGGGGUCUCUAUAACUUGACCCCAAAAACUCUUUCCCUCGCCUCUCUAAUAACUUGCCGACAUUUGUGAAAACUGCAUUCUCCGGUUCAGGAAUCCAAGCUGGCGGAUCAGGACCAUAGUUUUUGUAACAACCGUAAUACAUCAUCUGAUGGAAGGAGAAUGGAAGGUCAGGGCUAAGGACUCGCUUGGAGAUAUGGUGCCAAGUCUCAGGAGUGCCAUUCCCAUAGGUACGGAUGAUUUCGCCCAAACGUCCAUGGAGUUGCUCGGCAACUUCAGAACCAAUUCCAAGAGCUUCAAUAUCAAUCACAGUAAUGGAGUCCAGAGCUUUCCAAUCCAUCGGAGAUUUACAGAGAGCUAACUGCUAAUGAGAAACAAUCAUUCACACACCACCUUAAACCAGAAUUUCGAAAUAGUUUUUACGAUUUAAUUUGCUUAAUUUCUGAACCAAAUGAAUGAUCACGAGAUGGUUGGUUCAUCAUGUAAGCAAAUCGAAUUGAAUUUU